rnacentral:rRNA from 1 species
ACAUUCCUACGGGACGCAGCAGUGAGGAAUAUUGGUCAAUGGACGAAAGUCUGAACCAGCCAUGCCGCGUGCAGGAAGACGGCUCUAUGAGUUGUAAACUGCUUUUGUACAAGGGUAAACCUGAAUACGUGUAUUCAGCUGAAAGUACUGUACGAAUAAGGAUCGGCUAACUCCGUGCCAGCAGCCGCGGUAAUACGGAGGAUGCGAGCGUUAUCCGGAUUUAUUGGGUUUAAAGGGUGCGCAGGCGGAGGCACAAGUCAGCGGUAAAAUCGCGGGGCUCAACCCCGCUCCGCCGUUGAAACUGU